rnacentral:tRNA from 1 species
GCCCGGAUGGCGGAAUUGGUAGACGCGUUGGUCUCAAACACCAAUGAUAGCAAUAUCGUGCCGGUUCGAUCCCGGCUCCGGGUA